GUCUCCAUAGUUUAGUGGUUAGCACGUCUGCUUUACACGCAGAAGGUCCUGGGUUCGUGCCCCAGGUGGAGCUA
rnacentral:tRNA from 1 species